GUGCAAGAGUGAAGGCAAGUACACAAUUAAAGUCAAAAAUCCAUGCUGAGAAUCUAACACAUUCAAAUGGAGUUGGGUUCGUCUUAUUACACCCAUGACAAUGUCUUGCAGACAAGCACUUUAUUGGAUAGAAGAAACUAAUCUGUCCAGAGAACAUGCAGUACCUACGGCCAACCAGCAAAAACACUUAUGCUUUUCCGUUUCGCUCUUCAAUGCGGUGUCUAGUGUCCAUGUCCAUGGUCAUCAUGGCCUUCCCAAGGAUG
rnacentral:misc_RNA from 1 species